rnacentral:lncRNA from 1 species
CCCACCUGGCUCCGCGGGCAGCCGGAGCGCACCCGGCCGGAAGCCGCUGUCGGGGAGCCGGCGGUGGGGCUGGACGCAGGUGCAACUGACAUGGGUGAACCCCAGGGAUCCAUGCGGAUUCUAGUGACAGGGGGCUCUGGGCUGGUAGGCAAAGCCAUCCAGAAGGUGGUAGCAGAUGGAGCUGGACUUCCUGGAGAGGACUGGGUGUUUGUCUCCUCUAAAGACGCCGAUCUCACGUGAGUGAGCCCAUCCCCAGAUCAGCCCUUCCUCUCCAUCCUACCCCCCACCCUAGAACUAAGAGUUCCAGGCUGGGCAUGUUGCUGAGUCUAACAGUAGCUGUGUUUCUGGGUCCUUCCUGCCAGGUGGCUGGCCUGGCCUGGGUGUGCUUGGCUGUGUUCCUGGAAAAACAAACACCCUCCCAUCUCUUCCUGGAAGCCUGCACCCUCAUAUCAGCCAGGCCCUGGGGCCACCCUCCCUUUUGACUGUCCCUCCUGCCAUAGUCCCACCCAGUUCCUGCACUUGGCACCCAACCCUGGGGUGCUGGUUCCCUCCAGAGCCUCCUGACAGCCUGGCUUCCUACAGGGAUACAGCACAGACCCGCGCCCUGUUUGAGAAGGUCCAACCCACACACGUCAUCCAUCUUGCUGCAAUGGUGGGGGGCCUGUUCCGGAAUAUCAAAUACAAUUUGGACUUCUGGGUAAGUGAGGGUGGCCCCAGCAAGCACUGGAAACCAGGAUCCCAGGUUCUGGGAACUUCCUGGCGGGCUUCCCACUCUCACAGGCCCACAUUCCCACCCCAGGAAGUCCCUGAGGAUCAGGGCUUGGCACAGCCUGGUGGGGGCAGCCCCUGAGGGACCCCCA